CUGUAGCAAAUGCAACAUGCAGUGAAUAAAAACAUAAAUGUGUUUUCAUUACUGUUCUCUAGAGCAUCCUUAUCAUCACAAGGCCAAGAAAUACAUGGGUUGAAACCAGCUCAAGCCCACUGCUCUCUUCAAAAUUUAUCUGAUUUUUGGGGUUUUUUUGUACUUUGUGUUGGACUGAGACGUGUACACUCCAUGUGCAUUCCCCACCUACACAGGACUAAGAUUAUACUACAGAAAGUGGUGUCUUGGAAUCAGAGGUUCAGGGAAGACAGUUCCCACUGGAAAUACUACUGAAAGUUUAAACUCAAAGGGAAGUAUUUUUCCAGUAAAAUCCUUUAGUACUUUUCCUAAGUGGCUAAAGCACCUUGGACUCUGCACAUACACAACAAGUGAAGCAGGGAGAAUGAGAUUUCUUCAUUGCUGGUUUUCCAGCUUCCCUCCACAAAGUCGAGAGUGUUGUUGAGACCGUGUAGACAACACCGGAGCAGUGAUUACGUAGGAAUCCUGUGUUUCCAUUCUGCUUCGGGAGUGCUGCAACUGCAACUUUGUCUGCAACCAGUACCUGCCCUCCCCCUCCUUCCUCAAUAAACCUUACAACAAACAAGCACAAGGUCAAAGAUUCCCGAGUGUGGAAUCACACAAUAGUUUGGGUUCCCAGCUAUUUGUUUGUAGGAAGGUGAAUCCACUUCUGUGUAAUCAAUGAUUACAGGGACAAGGAUUUAUUGCACUGGAAAAAAAAACAACCCAACCAACCAAUAAAAAAAUAACAAAGUUCCCAAUCCUGGUCAAAGUUUAAAAAUGGGGAACUUGAGAGAAACAAGCAAAGGAUAAACACUGAAAUUAAGACACAGCAGAUCUAUAUAAAGGAUUUCUGUGGUUUAUCACGUGCUAUGAAACAGGAAAUGAAGAUUUCCUUCUGACUCAGUCCAUUGGAGAUUCACGGUAUUUGAAUCACAGAAUCACUGGAUCCAGCUUUGACUACAACUAUGCAAAAAGCCUUUCAGAAUCUUGAACUGAUUUGAAUGAAAUGGAUUAAGAUCAAGGUGAGCAGUUCUGAGGUUUAUAAGAAAUUAUGAAGACACUGUCUUCCCUGACCACCUCUAUCCACCUACUUUGGGUAGCAAGAUGUAAAAAUACAUCUUUUUCAUUAAAAAAGUACAACUA